AUGGCGACCGGCGCACGGGUGCGUAACGCGUAUGCAACCUACCUGUAACAGGGGGAUAACACUGAGAAAUCGGUACUAAUACCGCAUAACACUAUGAGAGGCAUCUCUUGUGGUUGAAAGUUUCGGCGGUUACAGAUGGGCAUGCGUUGUAUUAGCUGGUUGGUAAGGUAACGGCUUACCAAGGCGACGAUACAUAGGGGGACUGAGAGGUUAACCCCCCACAUUUGUACUGAGACACGGACCAAACUCCUACGGGAGGCAGCAG
rnacentral:rRNA from 1 species